rnacentral:tRNA from 1 species
UGUAGCUCAGUGGCACAGUGCCUGCCUGGCAAGCAGGAGGCCCUGAGUUCAAUUCCCGGUA